UAGGUUGGUUUAAAAUGCGCUAUGUAUCGAUACUCGAGACCACGAUCAGCAACGCAGCGAUUGGCUGGUGGCAAGACAGCAACGAAAUUACAUCAUAUAA